CACGUAGUUAGCCGUGGCUUUCUGGUUAGGUACCGUUAAGGUACCGGCAGUUACUCCGAUACUUGUUCUUCCCUAACAACAGAGUUUUACGAUCCGAAAACCUUCAUCACUCACGCGGCGUUGCUCCGUCAGACUUUCGUCCAUUGCGGAAGAUUCCCUACUGCUGCCUCCCGUAGGAGUCUGGGCCGUGUCUCAGUCCCAGUGUGGCCGAUCACCCUCUCAGGUCGGCUACGCAUCGUUGCCUUGGUGAGCCAUUACCUCACCAACUAGCUAAUGCGCCGCGGGCCCAUCUGUAAGUGAUAGCGUAAACCAUCUUUUAGCUUCCUAACAUGUGUUAGAAAGAAUUAUCCGGUAUUAGCUCACGUUUCCGCGAGUUAUCCCAGUCUUACAGGCAGGUUGCCCACGUGUUACUCACCCGUCCGCCGCUAAGUUUUAAAAGCAAGCUUUUAAAACUCGCUCGACUUGCAUGUAUUAGGCACGCCGCCAGCGUUGUCCUUGAGCCAGGAUCAAACUCU
rnacentral:rRNA from 1 species